rnacentral:rRNA from 1 species
AAGAACUUUGAAGAGAGAGUUCAAGAGUACGUGAAACCGUUCAGGGGUAAACCUGCGAAACUCGAAUGAACGAACGGAGAGAUUCAUCGUCAUUCCGCGGCGUACGGGCGCGCGCCUCGAUGCCGUCGGCCUCGGUCGGCAGGCACGGGUCGCGUCCGUCGACGUCCGCGGACGGCGUGCACUUCUCUCUUAGUAAAUACAUCGCGACCCGUUCGAUGUCGGUCUAAGCGCCGUACGGGAGCCCCGUUGGGACGGUUAACGCCGGACUAGCGGGACCGCGACGGUGGCCGACCGGCCGUCGGACGGUAGCCUUGGGGAAUCGCGCACGCGUUUUUGACGCGUCCGGCCCGACGCAAGUCAACGUCGUAUCCCGUGUCUACGCCCUGGUGCGGACGCGGGUGCGGCGCGUCUGCUGUCGCCGCCGUGCUGUCUCGGACUGUGCGCGUCUCUGUCUGCGAUGAUUCAGUUUCGGGCACUCGCAGGACCCG